CCUGGCUCAGAUUAAACGCUGGCGGCAUGCCUUACACAUGCAAGUCGAACGGUAGCGCGGGGCAACCUGGCGACGAGUGGCGAACGGGUGAGUAAGCAUCGGAACGUGCCCUGGAAUGGGGGAUAACGUAGCGAAAGUUACGCUAAUACCGCAUAUUCUGUGAGCAGGAAAGCAGGGGAUCGCAAGACCUUGCGUUCUGGGAGCGGCCGAUGUCGGAUUAGCUAGUUGGUGGGGUAAAAGCCUACCAAGGCGACGAUCCGUAGCGGGUCUGAGAGGAUGAUCCGCCACACUGGGACUGAGACACGGCCCAGACUCCUACGGGAGGCAGCAGUGGGGAAUUUUGGACAAUGGGCGGAAGCCUGAUCCAGCCAUGCCGCGUGAGUGAAGAAGGCCUUCGGGUUGUAAAGCUCUUUCGGUGGGGAAGAAAUUGCACGGGUUAAUACCCUGUGUAGAUGACGGUACCCGACUAAGAAGCACCGGCUAACUACGUG
rnacentral:rRNA from 1 species